rnacentral:misc_RNA from 1 species
AUCACACACACGCAGUAGUAGUCAACCCACCACGUGGAUAGUGCGCACAUCUAACGCGCCACACUCCUCACUGACAGAUCAACACGCCUUUCAAUAUCUGUGGCGGGGAAGCACGUAUCUCUGGCACAGGUGUUGAAGAGAGAGUGUACGGCACAGGUGUUGAGAUCAGGGAAGGUGUGUGUGUGAGUCAGCUAGCACGCAGGUGUUUUUCGUUGCUGACUACAGGUAUGUGCCGGUGUCUGAUGAGGCAUUAAACAGGUGACCAGCUUUGCACACCUCACUACUCACUACAUCCGUGUCUAGUGUAGUGAGAGGAGUGCCUGCGUGGGGCUGUGCUGUCUGUGGGUGUUGUACUUAACGCUCCAGUGAAUCUCCUAAAGUGACGAAUCUGUUCCGCAAUAUCCUGCACUUGUAACUCACUGUGCAUUCCUGGAACUAACUCUGGAACCUGGAAACUGGUGUGGCUUAAUGCAAAUCACUUCUACAUUGACUUAAAAUCCUGAAAAUAAGGUGAUCUGUUCUACUAUCUGUGAUUUUUCUCUAUCUGUGGUCUAGUACGAUCAAAACGUGAACUUACUGACUGAGUGGUGAUCUACUGAAGGGAGUGUUAAGGUGCCGCUCCUGUCUCCUCCUCACCUUCUUCUUAUCUCUGCAAGUUCAAGAUGAAGACAAACUUAAUUAUCAGGCUGGUGGUGACGGCUGCGGCGUGCGUAGCGUUGGGCGGGCGUACAUGCGCCACGGACAUGGCGCGGCGGCUGGGCCCUAACGGGCGUUCGGUGACAUCUUCCACGCUGGAGUGGAUCACGGCGCGCGGUGGCAAAGUGCCGCGCCACGCGCUGCCCGUGGACCAGCAGGACGUGGAGGGAGUGUAUUGGUGCCGCGCAACGUACCGCGGCUCAUACCUGGCAGGCGCGGCUCGGCCUGACGGUCCUUGCAUGGUGCCUUUCCUCACCAAGGUCCGCAAGAUCAACAAGUUCGACUUCCUCGUCUCUGUGAACGGCUCGGCACGCGUCACCUUCAAACCGUGGGACAAGUUCACCGUGAGGCCAAACGAUGCGCUGCUCACGCCUGACAAGAUGUUGGUGCUGGCGUCCGCUGAUGGGCGACCGACUGAACCUAGGAUGCCUGGUCACUUGGGACUGCGUACCUACGACCGCGAGGCCUUCCUGGUGGACGGGGAGGGCGUGAAAACCACGAGCGAGGCGGUAGUGAUGGUGGAGGUGGAACCCACGCAUUACUCGCUGCAGGACGUGGUGCUGGAGGGUAAGCGAGGCUUGACCCAGACCACGCCCGUGCUCCUCUCCAACGUCACCCUCGAGAACCCUGGCGAUAAGGAGGAGGAGGUGGGCAAGCUGGAGACCUACGUAGUGGAGGAGGAACACUACUGGGGGCAGGUGAAGGGCACCGUGACGGCGCUCCCCACCUCCAUCAGCAGCCCGCAGGACCCGCCCCUGGCCAUGCCCUUCCCGAGGGACCGACCCUUCAACUACAAGUGGGGCAUUGCCAACGUGAAGGACCACGUGGACAACCUUAACCUGAUGGACCAGCUGCCGUCGGGCGUGGGCGUGGAGGUCGAGAUCAACGGAAUCAUGCGGCACUACGAGGCGCCCUACAGUGCCACACUCAUCACCCACUACCAUGACGGCGAGACGCGGGAGCGGCGCAUCGAGGCCCUGCACACCCACCAGACGCUAGAGGCCGUCAGCGUCUCCUACAGCCGAUACUACAACCUUACCACCGGGGAGACACUGGACAUGCCAUCCCGUACACAGGCCAUCUUCGAACUCACCACCACUACCACCACCACGACCACGACUACCACCACCUCUACGACAACCACCACCACGACCACCACCACUACGGAGGCACCCACUACUACCCCGCAAACGGAGGCCAACACGGAGAUCGCCACGGAGCUGCCAACGGAGAUCAACAACGAGGUGACGCAGCUGGAGUCCAAGUCCCACUCCAAGGACGCAGACUCUGAACCUUUCCAGAGGACCCGCGAUGACAAGAGUGGCAGCCCGACACUCACCUCCACCACAGACCGCAUCCUCUCCGCACUCGCUUCUCUUUACGCCACUCUUAUUUUCCGUUACUACGCCAGCCUUUGAACACUCCCGCCCACCAAACACCCCUCCACAGUCCCACCCCAUCCUUCGGCGCCCCCCACCGCUGAGUCUGAGGAAGCGUCAGUGCUGAAGGAAGAACUGAAACAACAAAAGUCAGUCAGUCAGUCAGUCAGUUUGGCAAGACAAAGCCAAAGCCGUGCCGUAACAGGAAUUAUGUUAUGAGGGAAAGAAGCAUUGGAAGCAGAACAGUGUGAAAUAAUAAGAGAGAGAGAGAGAGAGAGAGAGAGAGAGAGAGAGAGAGAGAGAGAGAGAGAGAGAGAGAGAGAGAGAGAGAGAGAGAGAGAGAGAGAGAGAGAGAGAGAGAGAGAGAGAGAGAGAGAGAGAGAGAGAGAGAGAGAGAGAGAGAGAGGGAGGGAGAAAUGAGAUAUAGUCCAUUGUGUUCAGUGUUUAUGACGUGUUACCGCUAAAAGAGAGAGAGAGAGAGAGAGAGAGAGAGAGAGAGAGAGAGAGAGAGAGAGAGAGAGAGAGAGAGAGAGAGAGAGAGAGAGAGAGAGAGAGUAUACUGCAUUGUCGGUGUAUAUACUAAAUAAUAAUAGUAAUUGCAAAUGUUCUGCCUCUUCCUAUUAUUAAUGUAUACCAAUAUUAAAAAAAUAAAAUAAAGAAUAUAUUACAAUUAA